rnacentral:rRNA from 1 species
CCUACGGGCGGCAACAGUGGGGAAUAUUGGGCAAUGGGCGCAAGCCUGACCCAGCAACGCAGCGUGAAGGAAGAAGGCUCUCGGGUUGUAAACUUCUUUUAUCAGGGACGAAGCAAGUGACGGUACCUGAUGAAUAAGCCACGGCUAACUACGUGCCAGCAGCUGCGGUAAUACGUAGGUGGCAAGCGUUAUCCGGAUUUACUGGGUGUAAAGGGCGUGUAGGCGGGAAAGCAAGUCAGAUGUGAAAACCAUGGGCUCAACCUGUGAACUGCAUUUGAAACUGUUGUUCUUGAGUACUGGAGAGGCAGACGGAAUUCCUGGUGUAGCGGUGAAAUGCGUAGAUAUUAGGAAGAACACCAGUGGCGAAGGCGGUCUGCUGGACAGCAACUGACGCUGAGGCGCGAAAGCGUGGGGAGCAAACAGGAUUAGAUACCCCUGUAGUC